CCUACGGGAGGCAGCAGUGGGGAAUAUUGCACAAUGGGGGAAACCCUGAUGCAGCGACGCCGCGUGAAGGAAGAAGUCUUUCGGUAUGUAAACUUCUAUCAGCAGGGAAGAAAAUGACGGUACCUGACUAAUAAGCCCCGGCUAACUACGUGCCAGCAGCCGCGGUCAUACGUAGGGGGCAAGCGUUAUCCGGAUUGACUGGGUGUAAAGGGAGCGGAGGCGGGUUAGCAAGUUAGAAGUGAAAGCCCGGGGCUCAACACCGGGACUGUUUUUGAAACUGUUGAACUAGAUUGCAGGAGGGGUAAGUGGAAUUCCUAGUGUAGCAGUGAAAUGCGUAGAUAUUAGGAGGAACACCAGUGGCGUAGGCAGCUUACUGGACUGGAAAUGACGCUGAGGCUCGAAAGCGUAGGGAGCAAACAGGAUUAGAUACCCGUGUAGUC
rnacentral:rRNA from 1 species